AAAGUGUUAGUUAAUAAAUAACAUAGCCUUGUCAUAGCUAAGUAACAAAUCUAAUUUUGUACACUUUA
rnacentral:tRNA from 1 species